UAGCUCAGUCAGUUGAGCAUGGCGCUAACAAUGCCAAGGUCACGGGUUUGAUUCCUGU
rnacentral:tRNA from 1 species